GUUUGUUAGUUCAUAUAAUACUAUGUAUCUUAUAUAAUUUUGUAAAUAGUUUUAAAAUUCUUUUCUGUAUACUUUUCGCACGCCCCUCGUGGAAAUCAGCUUCGGUUGACGGGGUCAGCGUGUUUAAAUAAAGUUUAUCUAUCUAUCUAAGUAUCUAUCUAAGUAUCUAUUUAUAGAAGGAACUUUUUCACGAACAUAAUACAGUAUAUGUAGCAGA